UGCAACUUUGGGCCCAAAGGUUUGAAUAAUUAAAUUCAAACCUAUAGUUUUUUUUAAUAUAAUUUUGGGAUUCACAAUCCUAUUUUUAUAUUAUUUUUCUCUCUUCCUCUCACGUUGCUCGGCGUUUUCUCGCAAGGGAGGAUUAUUUUCUUUUUCUUCAGAUUAUAUUGACAAAGAUAGUGGUGAAAAAGGAGUUGUGAAGGGGAACUUGUUAUUCAAGACACAAGGAGCGAAUCCGGCCGAGAAAGCACUAGAGGUGUAAUUAUGGUGUAUGAGACACCAUCUUUUACGUUGCCUCUUAUUUUGGAUUAUACAAUGUAUCUUGUGCCAACUUAGG